rnacentral:rRNA from 1 species
CCCCGCCACACGAACAAAACCCCGGCGCGAGACGCGCCAAGGAAUAGAAAACGAAGAGAUAGGGAACGGGUGGCCCGUCGAGUGCCGGAGACGGAUCUCUCGCGGGCGACCCCUUCUCGUUCGGAAACAAAACGACUCUCGGCAACGGAUAUCUCGGCUCUCGCAUCGAUGAAGAACGUAGCGAAAUGCGAUACUUGGUGUGAAUUGCAGAAUCCCGUGAACCAUCGAGUCUUUGAACGCAAGUUGCGCCCGAAGCCUUCGGGCCGAGGGCACGCCUGCCUGGGUGUCAUGCGUCGUCGCCCCCCGACCAUCGGGACGGGCGGAGAUUGGUCUCCCGUGCGCUCCCGCUCGCGGUUGGCCGAAAUACGAGUUGUUGGCGGCCGAUAGCGCCACG